rnacentral:rRNA from 2 species
UGGCGAACGGGUGAGUAACGCGUGAGCAACCUGCCUAUGACAGUGGGAUAGCCUCGGGAAACCGGGAUUAAUACCGCAUAAAAUCGUAGAAACACAUGUUUCAACGGUCAAAGAUUUAUCGGUCAUAGAUGGGCUCGCGUCUGAUUAGCUAGUUUGGUGAGAUAACAGCCCACCAAGGCGACGAUCAGUAGCUGGUCUGAGAGGAUGAACGGCCACAUUGGAACUGAGACACGGUCCAAACUCCUACGGGAGGCAGCAGUGGGGAAUAUUGCACAAUGGGGGAAACCCUGAUGCAGCGACGCCGCGUGAACGAAGAAGGUAUUCGUAUCGUAAAGUUCUGUCCUAUGGGAAGAUAAUGACAGUACCAUAGAAGAAAGCUCCGGCUAAAUACGUGCCAGCAGCCGCGGUAAUACGUAUGGAGCGAGCGUUGUCCGGAAUUAUUGGGCGUAAAGGGUACGCAGGCGGCUUAAUAAGUCGAAUGUUAAAGAUCGGGGCUCAACCCCGUAAAGCAUUGGAAACUGAUAAUCUUGGGUAGUGGAGAGGAAAGUGGAAUUCCUAGUGUAGUGGUGAAAUACGUAGAUAUUAGGAGGAAUACCAGUAGCGAAGGCGACUUUCUGGACACAAACUGACGCUGAGGUACGAAAGCGUGGGGAGCAAACAGGAUUA